GUAUUGGCCUACCGUGGCAAUGACGGGUAACGGGGAAUUAGGGUUCGAUUCCGGAGAGGGAGCCUGAGAAACGGCUACCACAUCUAAGGAAGGCAGCAGGCGCGCAAAUUACCCAAUCCUAAUACAGGGAGGUAGUGACAAGAAAUAACAAUACAGGACUUUAACAGUUUUGUAAUUGGAAUGAGUUGAGUAUAAACCCCUUUACGAGUAUCAAUUGGAGGGCAAGUCUGGUGCCAGCAGCCGCGGUAAUUCCGGCUCCAAUAGCGUAUAUUAAAGUUGUUGCAGUUAAAAAGCUCGUAGUUGGAUUUCUGUUAAUAAUUUAUAUAUAAUAUUUAACAUAUUUAUAUAAUAUUAACAUAAUUCAUAUUACUAUUUAUAGUAUAUGAAACUUUACUUUGAGAAAAUUAGAGUGCUUAAAGCAGGCUUUUGCCUUGAAUACUAGAGCAUGGAAUAAUAUUAAAGAUUUUUAUCUUCCUUAUUGGUUCUAAGAUAGAAAUAAUGAUUAAUAGGGACAGUUGGGGGCAUUUGUAUUUAA
rnacentral:rRNA from 1 species